rnacentral:rRNA from 1 species
AUUGAACGCUGGCGGCAGGCCUAACACAUGCAAGUCGGGCGGUAGCACAGGAGAGCUUGCUCUCCGGGUGACGAGCGGCGGACGGGUGAGUAAUGUCUGGGAAACUGCCUGAUGGAGGGGGAUAACUACUGGAAACGGUAGCUAAUACCGCAUAACGUCGCAAGACCAAAGAGGGGGGCCUUCGGGCCUCUUGCCAUCGGAUGUGCCCAGAUGGGAUUAGCUAGUAGGUGAGGUAAAGGCUCACCUAGGCGACGAUCCCUAGCUGGUCUGAGGGGAUGACCAGCCACACUGGAACUGAGACACGGUCCAGACUCCUACGGGAGGCAGCAGUGGGGAAUAUUGCACAAUGGGCGCAAGCCUGAUGCAGCCAUGCCGCGUGUAUGAAGAAGGCCUUCGGGUUGUAAAGUACUUUCAGCGGGGAGGAAGGUGUUGUGGUUAAUAACCGCAGCAAUUGACGUUACCCGCAGAAGAAGCACCGGCUAACUCCGUGCCAGCCGCCGCGGUAA